GGACUACUGGGGUUUCUAAUCCUGUUUGCUACCCACGCUUUCGUAGUUGAGUGUCAGUACUUGUCCAGGUCGCCGCCUUCGCCUCUGGUGUUCCUCCCGAUCUCUACGCAUUUCACCGCUACACCGGGAAUUCCACGACCCUCUCCAAGACUCCAGUCUGACCGUUUCAGGGGCACUUCUUGGGUUAAGCCCAAGGCUUUCACCCCUGACAAAUCAGACCACCUACCUACCCUUUACGCCCAAUAAUUCCGAGCAACGCUUGCACCCCUCGUAUUACCGCGGCGGCUGGCAC
rnacentral:rRNA from 1 species